rnacentral:rRNA from 1 species
CACGCAGGCGGGUUGUUAAGUCAGGGGUGAAAUCCCGAGGCUCAACCUCGGAACUGCCUUUGAUACUGGCGACCUUGAGUCCGGGAGAGGUGAGUGGAACUCCGAGUGUAGAGGUGAAAUUCGUAGAUAUUCGGAAGAACACCAGUGGCGAAGGCGGCUCACUGGCCCGGUACUGACGCUGAGGUGCGAAAGCGUGGGGAGCAAACA